rnacentral:lncRNA from 1 species
AAUUUGUAUUCUAAACAUUUACAUAAUUCAUAAAAAAAUCUGUUUAUUCUAAAAGUUAGAUUCAAAGAUUUUAUCUCCAUCUGCACCUUAUUUUCGCUCUUUUCUUACACAAAAUACAGAAGAAUGUCCUCACCGUUUCGCACCCUGCCUUUUUCACUGCACAUCUGCAUCCAGAUGUGAGCACAGAGACCUUCCUCAUUCCUUCUCAGCUGGCUAAUCCCCUGUUGUGGGGUGGACUGUGGAGCUCCAAACUUCUAUUACCUUUCUUUGAGACCAUUUCAUUCCUCUGGGAACUGAUUUGCAAGGUUGUUCUGGCAUUAUUGUUCUGAAAAAUUACAAUCCUUCCUGCUGCUGUGGUAGAUUGUUAUAAUUAUGACCUCAGCGAAGCCUGUUUCCCUGCGUCCAUCCACAGACCUUCGCCACGUAAAGUUGUUCUCAUCAAUGUGUGGAGUCCACCUGGCUACCCCCUUGAUCCAGGCUGGCUCUGUAAGCUGGUCUGAUGAAUAAAACGGGUAGCAGUGAUGUUUUCAGAGCUAAGUCCAGAACAACUUCC